UACGUAGGGACCAAGCGUUGUUCGGAUUUACUGGGCGUAAAGGGCGCGUAGGCGGCGUGGUAAGUCACUUGUGAAAUCUCUGAGCUUAACUCAGAACGGCCAAGUGAUACUGCUGUGCUAGAGUGCAGAAGGGGCAAUCGGAAUUCUUGGUGUAGCGGUGAAAUGCGUAGAUAUCAAGAGGAACACCUGAGGUGAAGACGGGUUGCUGGGCUGACACUGACGCUGAUGCGCGAAAGCCAGGGGAGCGAACGGG
rnacentral:rRNA from 1 species